rnacentral:rRNA from 1 species
GAACGCUGGCGGCGGGCUUAACACAUGCAAGUCGCGGGAGAAUCGGGGUCUUCGGACCCCGGGGAGACCGGCGGAUGGGUGAGUAACGCGUAGGCAAUCUGCCUACAGGACGGGGAUAACGCGCCGAAAGGCGCGCUAAUACCCGAUGAUGCAGCGGGGGCGCAUGCCCACAGUUGUUAAAGGCUUCGGCCACCUUCAGAGGAGCCUGCGUGCCAUUAGCUAGUUGGUGGGAUAACAGCUCACCAAGGCGAUGAUGGCUAGGGGGUCUGAGAGGAUGAUCCCCCACACUGGGACUGAGACACGGCCCAGACUCCUACGGGAGGCAGCAGUGAGGAAUCUUGCGCAAUGGAGGAAACUCUGACGCAGCCACGCCGCGUGCUGGAAGACGGCCCUAUGGGUUGUAAACAGCUUUUACCAGGGAAGAACCCGGGGGUUUCGAUCCCCGCUGACGGUACCUGGUGAAUAAGCACCGGCUAACUCCGUGCCAGCAGCCGCGGUAAUACGGAGGGUGCAAGCGUUGUCCGGAAUCAUUGGGUGUAAAGGGUGCGCAGGCGGACUGCUAAGUCGAGGGUGAAAUCUUGCCGCUUAACGGUAAAAUGGCCUUCGAUACUGGCAGUCUUGAGUCCAGAAGAGGCCGGUGGAAUUCGUGGUGUAGCGGUGAAAUGCAUAGAUAUCACGAAGAACACCAGUGGCGAAGGCGGCCGGCUGGUCUGGAACUGACGCUGAGGCACGAGAGCGUGGGGAGCGAACAGGAUUAGAUACCCUGGUAGUCCACGCUGUAAACGAUGUGUGCUAGAUGUUGGCUCUUCGGAGUCAGUGUCGCAGCUAACGCAGUAAGCACACCACCUGGGGAGUACGUCCGCAAG